rnacentral:rRNA from 1 species
CGGCAUUAUAUCUAAUUAGGGAAACUUGUUUUUAAAUCGAUAAUCCACGUUAAAAUCUAACCUUAUUAAAGUUCAUAUACCUCCGUCUUAAGAUUAAACUUUAAUAAUAGAAAUCAAAAAAAUAUAUAAUAAGUCAGGUCAAGGUGUGGCUAAUAAUAAUGAUAAAAUGAGUUACAAUAAAAAUAAUUUAUAAAAAUCUCAAAAGAAAUAUAAAUAAGAACUUAAAUCCAAUUUAACAAAUAUUAAUAAUAAACGAAUAAGAUAAUACAUGUGC